rnacentral:rRNA from 1 species
GCGGCAAACGGGUGAGUAAUAUCUGGGAAUCUACCCAAAAGAGGGGGAUAACUACUAGAAAUGGUAGCUAAUACCGCAUAAAGUUGAAAAACCAAAGUGGGGGACCUUUUAGGCCUCAUGCUUUUGGAUGAGCCCAGACGAGAUUAGCUUGUUGGUAAGGUAAAGGCUUACCAAGGCGACGAUCUCUAGCUGGUCUGAGAGGAUAACCAGCCACACUGGAACUGAGACACGGUCCAGACUCCUACGGGAGGCAGCAGUGGGGAAUAUUGCACAAUGGGCGAAAGCCUGAUGCAGCUAUGCCGCGUGUAUGAAGAAGGCCUUAGGGUUGUAAAGUACUUUCAGUAGGGAGGAAAAAAAUAAAACUAAUAAUUUUAU